AUGGGAGGUAACAGGGGAGCCAGGAGGUGGCUUAAACUAAUUAGUUUCCUUGCACUCUCAGGCCCUCAGCCAGAUUCCUGUAAGUCUGAGCAUAAAGUUUUAUGGCACAUGUUCUGCUCUUUAUGGGAAAAAACACCAUGGGGAGCUACGCUUCAAAGAAUCAAGGUCCCCUUUCUGCCCUUUGAACUGAACUGGUAAGCCUUCAGACAGGUUACACAUUGCAAUUGCUGCUUUGGAGCUCUCCUUGAAUCACUGUCUUUUGCUCUGGCUAUAGAUCCUGAUGUGCUUUGUAAAUGGAAAUUCAGAAGGGAGCUGACUUUCGAGAUCAACAGAUCAAACAUACAGCUAGGACUUUCAGUCCAUUGAACUAUAAUGCAUAUGAAGACUCGACUACAAAUGUGUUGCUUGAAGAGGUCAUUCUUGAUAGAGUGAGCCAGUUCCUCGUGGUAUAAGUUGGCAGCAUGUCAUAAAAGUCAGUGCCUUGAAGUCAAUGGAUCUUUCCAUCAUAUAUAUGAAUUCUGCCUUAUGCCUAGCAUGUGACACACCCUUGGAAGAAGAGAUUGCAUGAAAAGGUAGAUGUAUACAGUAAUGAAGGUGUUGAUUCAAGUUACUACUGAAGAGUGGUAGAAAAUUGGCCCAGCUGUAGGAGAUGAAGAAUCAGGAACAGAAAACAAAAACCAUGAAGAGAUUCAUGGUGGGGAAUCACCUGUAUCUAUCCAGUCUUCACUGAGAAAGCACACAGAAGUUAUUUCACCUGUUGACCUCCAAAAAAAAAAAAAAGGGAAGCAACUGCAGGCAAAGGAAAAGUUUGGAGCCUGGGGAAGUGUAAGAAAGAAAAACAAGUACAAAACAAAGCAUGACAAACUGCAGACUAUGGUUGCAUGUGCUUCCAGGCUCAGUGUGUCUCAUUGGAAAAAAAGAGUACUGCGUAGUGAAUUACAUGGAUGUGGGACUUCAGUCUUUAUUAUUUACACCAACUUAAAUCACACUUGUGGCUUUUUUUCUGCUGAAGGAAAUAUGUAACAAAGUGAAUAAGAUAAGAAUUCCUUAAGAGAAGAAAGACUGCCAUAUCAUUCUGUGACUCCUCAGAAUAUUUCAUUACUAAGUGCCUUUGGUCUGUGAAGUUUGUAAGCACUACAUUUGCAGUGCUAAGGCUUAUCCAGCUAGUCGUGGUUUGCAGCAGCAGGUUUCUCCUCAUUUGCUCUUCCAAAGAACUUCUGAAGAUAUCCUAAUUCAGACUACACACCACUUAAACCGUAGUACAGGACAAAUCACUACAAAUUUGUUCUACUGGGUAGCAAUUUCAACUGAAGCUCAUAGUCAAACACUAUAUACAAAUGCAAUUAUUCAGUACAGUCAAGGGAUGAUGACCUUAUGAUCAAACUACAUACCAACAGAAAUAUGCUGUCUCUGAAUCUUUAGCUAGUGCCACUUCUCUAUAUUGAGAUAAGUUUAUGGUCGCAGAAAAGUUGAUCUUUACGCAAUCCUUUCUCCACUGGUCCAGUGAACCGAACCUACCUUCUGGAGCCUGUAAUUAUGGGUCCUAAUGCUUUUCAUUCUCAGGCAUUCUCCAGUGUCCUCAGAGACUAUCAGGCUCUGGUUCUGCACCAAUGCUUCUCAAAACCUUUAGGACACAUUGAAAUUAUGUCCAAAUCCAAAAGAAAUGACUGAUGUGGCUCAAAGGUUGACAGUGCUAGGGUUACGCAACUGAAUUCUUACAGCUCUUUGGUUUGAUGCCACUAGGAAAAGACAAACAUCCAGAUUUGAUGUCUUUUGAUGCCCAGAGUUGAUGUCUUUUGAUGUCUUUUUAACUGCCACAGUUGGUCAAUCUUAAUUUCAUUGACAGAAGUGCAAAGUGAGACUGUAUUUAAGAGCUGCACUAUAGCUGUUCUGAUUUACACCAGUAUCAGUGAGAUUUAAGGAAUGAUCUUUCACAUUGUUGAGCUACAGGAUGCUUCAUGUUAGCUGUCUAGAUAACGAAAAAUAUCAUGGUUUUCCUGAAUGAAAACAUACCAGUUGAGGAACUUGUCCUUACACCUCGCCACUGCUCAACGUAAGAAAACAAAUCACAUUUGUGGAAUGUUUGUGAUUCACCCCAUAUCAACAAUGUUAACAUGGAGCUACAAAGCACUAGAUUUUGUAGAUGGGUAUUAAAAAAAGCAGGAGGCCUUUGGACAACUUUUUAGUUAAGUGCUUUGCCCAAUGACAGGUGCUUUUGCAAUCACCCCUUCUCCUCACCUUACGGUCUACCACAGUAUGUAUCAGAGAUCUCUGGGAAGGGAAACCAUCACACCUAAUGCAUUUGGACAAGUCUAGCAUGUGUGCAAAUUAAUAAGAAUGGCUUAUUCUAUUCUUUAUUUUGUUUUGCAAGGGUUGCCUUGCAUUUUUGCAACCUGCACAUCUGCUUCCCUGCUCUAACUAAUGAUAAUGGAUCUAGCAGAAUGCAAAGAACACAAUAUUCCCUCAAGUGCUUUUUUUUUUUUUUUUUUUUUUUUUUUUUUUUUUUUUUUUUUUUUAUGGGGGAAUCUCCUACUGAAAGGUAGAAACCUAAAUCAACUUCUUAAAAUAGAGAAUAGAUUCAUUAUUAAAUUCUCCUCUUCAGGCACUGGAGGAAUCCACAAAUGCAAUACAGGAAAGGAACUGAGAGUUGGAAAGAGCACUGCAAGUAAUCCUUUGCAAAACUCGUGGUUAAACUGUGAGAAGAAAAUUUCUGAUUUAAGAAUAUGUAUUUUUGCCUCUAGUAUAAAAUAAAAAUAAAAUAAUAAAAAAUAAAAAAUAAAAUAAACAGCAAAUAUUAAACACCUCAUAGUAACAGUUGCCUGGCAUACUGCAUGACAGUUAACUCUGUAAAAAGGGCACAUCUUGACUUCAUUUUGUCUUCUAACUUUGCCUUUCUCUUCUAAAGUAGUCUUUAAACAUUUUUAUCUAAACUAUACAAAGCAAAAAAGGAAAGGCUGUAGUAAUGCACUGCUGAAUAAAAAACAAACAAAAAACCAAACAACAUUCAAAUACUUCUACUAUCCCGUUUCAAUGACCUUUAUGAAUAAAGGAAUGACUGUAUUAAUAAAAGUUCCCAUAUAACAUUUUUUUGCAAGUCUUUACAUGAGAUUGUAUCAGUAACCAGAUUUAUAGACCAGUCUCUGGCUGCAAACACACUGUGCAUCCUUUCUACAUGAAGAACAAAUUCCCUCUCUUUUUACACUAGCACAAAACACUGGCACUCAGCAGCACAGUAGCAGCAAAUGCAGAUGUUGUGUGAUAAUGAACAUAGAUAAAGCAGAAUCUCCACAGAAAAGCAAUAUUACAAGUGCAGCUGGUGAUGCUGCUCAUCAGCUGUCUGUUCAGAAGUAGUGCAGAACUUGUACUUUGAUCCUGGAAGCUGCCAAGACUUUUGCAUGGGGUUCAACGCCGCUCAGUUUUGACACUGAGAACAGAAACAUUAUUUUGAUGUCUUUCCACGUUUUUGGUAAGGACUCUCUACAAAGCCUGAUACAGAACAUACGUGUUAAAUCUUUACACAUCUUGUGCAGGUACUCCUACAAAGCACCUUUUUCCUGCUCUCUAUCCAGUACAGUAACAUCUAAUGUCUUAAAGAUGAAAAAGAAAAGAAUCCAAAUAAGACAUUAUUUAUUUUUUUCUGUGAUAUCUUCCCUUUGGGAAAAGAGAUUGCUCGUGUUCAGCUCUGUCUAUGAGCUAAUGCUAGACUUCAAACCACCCUCACCUCAAUUGUAGCAUUUAUUAACUUUACAUAUAAGGUUUAUGACUUCUAGAUUAGUAAAUUAUGUAGUAAGGCCUUGUAAUAGAUUUAAUUGUGUUAAUUUUAGUUGAAUUAUAUGGUGUGUUGAUUCUGUGAAGAACUCUGUUGCGCAAACCACGAAGUAAGGAUGCUAUUAAGUUUUUAAGAGCCUAUUCCAAACGUUGCUGUGCUUAUGAAUCAGCAAGUAUUCCUGCACAGCACUGAGUACCAAAAUCUACCCUGCGUGAAGAUGGUGAGUAUGGUCACAUCCAUGCAGACAGAAAAGUUCAUUAUUUCACAAUUGGUGUAUAUUAAUUUAAUAAAAAGGUCACAUUGAAAUUCCCAAGAUUCCAGUUCUCAACUACACAGAUCUUUUGCUAUAACUCGAAUUACUGGAGGAACACUGCAAUUUUCCAUCAGAUGAAACAAUGAGUAUUGACUUUUAAUAAGCUGUUGAAUAUUUCAGCACUUCUGAAAUAUGAACUCAACAGCUUAUAGGAUCAGUGCUCCUGUUUGCAAUUUGCUGUCAGAUACAAAGGGAUUGUUCUAAUAUGUUUGGUAUUACCAUCAGCUAAUCCUUUUCUGAUUUCUGUAUGUCACAAGAAAGUGAAAUAAAACUAUGGGAUGUUGUUUUAUGAGCAGUGCAAUAAUAAAGACCCAAAUAAGGCUUUUCUUAAAACCAACUUAGCCUUCAAAUAGCAGCUUAAGGAAUGCUCUCUGGAAUCUAACCUAUAAUGACUCAAGACCCAGUUUUCCCAGGAAAAGGUUUGAAUCAGUGUAUCAGCAUUAAACCUUUAGGCUAGGAUUCAGAAUGUACUUUCUCUUUUUACUGUAUAUGUAUAGGAUGUUUUUAGCUUAGUGCAUUAAUAGGACAACACAAUAAAGGAGGAUUAUGAUCCUUGUUCUGUAUUUUGCUCAAAAUUUAUAGGAUAUUUGGAAAAGAACAAUUUUGAUUUCCUAAUUCCUACUAAUAAAGGAGAAACAUGAGGUCCAUUUUGGAUUUUAUUUAGCUUAACAAUAAUAAUAAGGAUAAUAUUCAAAAUAAUGGCUUAAAUUUAGGAGCCUAAAAUGUUGUUCAAUUCUCAAAAUAAACUCUGCAUUUUGUGAAGCAUCUCCACAUGCAAUAAAGAAGUCAAUGGCAUGACAAAAACUUAAAACUGAAGUUUUACUGUAAAAGUGAAAAAGAAGCGUUUUUAGCUCACUUUGUUAACAUCUCUGGCUGACGUUCAGCCGACAUGCUGGAGGACACAGCCAGCAGUGCUUUGGUAGUGGUAUCAGAUUAGCGUGCAAUUCAUGCUGCUGUCUCGUACAUCUAUUAGACUGAGAGUACUGGAAAUUUCAGAGUCACGUUGUUUGAACUGUACCCUCUAACUGAAAGAAAUCAAGCCAGAAAAUAAAGGAGAUGGCUUGCAAAAUGAAAUUCUCAGGAAAAAAAGAAGUGCAUUCUGAGCAAGUCAAACUCUUUAAUUUUAGGUUAGAUUGCUCGCGCCUCACCUGACUGUAGGAAAUUUGAAAACACCGACACACAUUAUGAAAUAGAAAAAUAUUUGGCCAAAACAGACCUUGCUCAGAGGUCACAUCUUACUGUGCUUUGGUAAAUCUUGGACAAAUUACAGGUUUUCUGAUGAAAACAAUUUCAGCUGGAAAAUUUCUACCUAGGUUCACUGAGCUGCUGCUUCUUUCCACCUUUUUUUGGCAGAAUGAACACCAGAUAAUAGCUAUAAUAGCUAUAAUAGUUUGGCCUUCUGGACAUUCAUAUACCACACAGCAUUUACUAUGUUUUGUUGCUUAUUAUAGCCAAAGUAUAACUCCUUUGGAUUUGGAUCAAUCAUUUGGCCUUUCUUCCUCAGAGUUAUGAAACUUCUCCCUUGAUUGCUAACUUCAGGACUUUAGGGAAUGGAUAGACAUGAGUGGCAACAGCAGCAAGUGGUGCUCAGUAUUAGUGGGAAAAUAAGGCUCAGGGAAACCAUAAAACACAAAUAAAUACCUGGCAAUAAAGAGACAACACAGUAUAGAAGAUGAAAAUGAUUUCUUAGUGAAAUGGAUCUUGAAGCAUGAGCCUGGUACUAAGGCACAGUGUUUGGUAGGGAGAGUAAAUUAAAUUUUACUUUUAAAUUUUAGUCCAUGCAUCUUUAAAGAAAAAAAGAAAAAAAGAAGUGCAGAUAAAACAGGCAUCAGCCGUUAUAAAACAUGGAACAAGACGGUCUUUUAAACAACAGGCUUUCACAAACCCAUAUUUUAAUGUGGCUUGUCCUGGGAUAAUAUAGUAUAUCAGUGGUUCUCAGAUUCUUUCACAGCACAGAUCAUCUUUUAGGCAAAACUGCCUAAACUGUCUUGGACCCCUCACCCUUGCAAUGACAUUCCUAACCAGACCUGCACACACCCUACUAGCAAUCAACCUAUGAGUGCACAUGCACAGACACACAUAAAACAUUGAUCAGCAACAAAAGAAAAUUACUCUCUUACCUCAUGAGUCCAGGCAUUUUCUUGGGACUCCUGCUUCACUUUUCUAUAGCUUUUGCCUGCAAAAACGGCAGCAUCAUCCCCAUGGUUCAGCCUUGCAGAUGCCAUCUGUGGUGUCCUGUAAUCACUGAAGGGCUCCUACAGUUCCUGGGAUGGAGCAGAGCAGCAGUUAGGACAGCAUUCCUGGUGGCUGAACUGCACACCUGAGCCCCUGCUCAGCAACAGGCUGAGAGCCGCUGGAACUCUGCGACUCAGUGACCAGAAAGAGCCAGCUACAAACCCCAUUUCUGACAGUAAAGGCUUAUUCUGUUCUUCCUUGGUUUUAAACAUGUAAUUCAAUGUAGCAAUUAAUUAAUUCUUUAAGUAAUUAAUUACUAACUGCUAAGGAAUUAUUGUAACGCUGUAUGUAGAAGUAAUAAAAUUACUUAAGGGUUUCAGAAAAUUCUUCAAGAAAGCAAUUAUUAGUAGUUGUAGUCAAAAUUAUUUGUUAUAUUAAUUACCAGUAAUCUCUGCCUAGGCAUAAUUAGACAAAGUAAUCUUACAGUGGUGCAACAUAAUUAUGUCACUAAUGAGAGAAAUAACAGAUUAUUUUACAUAAAUUUGUCAUAUUAUAUGCUUAGAGCUUGCUGAAGAACUGAAGAACAAAGCAAGGAAUUAAAGAGCAAACACACACAAAGUUUGGGAACAAGUUCUCACAGCAGCAGCAUAUUAAGGCAGGUUCGUGUAAACACACGGCUGAGAUCUUCAAGGUGAUGCAAAUCCGGGCAGCUCCAGUGAGAUCAGUUCAUACCACCCGGGGGCCCGGAUCUGCU
ensembl:lncRNA